rnacentral:sRNA from 1 species
UAGAGGAGGAAAAUGUUUCCUGUUGUCUU